CCUACGGGCGGCUGCAGUCGAGAAUCAUUCACAAUGGGGGAAACCCUGAUGGUGCGACGCCGCGUGAGCGAUGAAGUAUUUCGGUAUGUAAAGCUCUAUCAGCAGGGAAGAAAAUGACGGUACCUGACUCAGAAGCCCCGGCUAACUACGUGCCAGCAGCCGCGGUAAUACGUCGGGGGCAAGCGUUAUCCGGAUUUACUGGGUGUAAAGGGAGCGUAGACGGUGUGGCAAGCCAGAUGUGAAAGCCCGGGGCUCAACCCCGGGACUGCAUUUGAAACUGUGCUGCUAGAGUGUCGGAGAGGCAGGCGGAAUUCCUAGUGUAGCGGUGAAAUGCGUAGAUAUUAGGAGGAACACCAGUGGCGAAGGCGGCCUGCUGGACGAUGACUGACGUUGAGGCUCGAAAGCGUGGGGAGCAAACAGGAUUAGAUACCCCAGUAGUC
rnacentral:rRNA from 1 species